rnacentral:rRNA from 1 species
CUUAGCCUUAAACCCUNNUAAUUAAACCAACAAAAAUAUUUGCCAGAGAACUACUAGCCACCGCUUAAAACUCAAAGGACUUGGCGGUACUUUAUAUCCAUCUAGAGGAGCCUGUUCUGUAAUCGAUAAACCCCGUUACACCUUACCACCCCUUGCUAAUUCAGCCUAUAUACCGCCAUCUUCAGCAAACCUUAAAAAAGACUAAAAGUAAGCAAGAAUAUAAACCAUAAAAACGUUAGGUCAAGGUGUAGCUAAUGGAGUGGAAAGAAAUGGGCUACAUUUUCUUAACAAGAACAUUAACGAAAUUCUUUAUGAAACUAAAGAAUGAAGGAGGAUUUAGUAGUAAAUUAAGAAUAGAGAGCUUAAUUGAAUAGAGCAAUGAAGUA